GGUCGCUUAGCUCAGUUGGUGCGUCCCACAUCACAACAUGCCCAUUCAAACGUCCACUAAUAAUUUCCGCAGGUUAGAGCGUGGUGCUAAUAACGCCAAGGUCGCGAGUUCGACCCUCGUAGUGACCA